rnacentral:scRNA from 1 species
UGGGAGGUAUAAGAAGGUGAAACUACUGAAGUGUAUAGUUUUCACCGAUACCUACCUCCAAAAGUGAAAGUGGUAGUGUGAACCACCUGAUCUCCAGCAAUAGGUUUUGAGUGCUCUGCACCUACCCACAAUA